rfam:Desulfovibrionales bacterium GWA2_65_9 gwa2_scaffold_3895, whole genome shotgun sequence.
GGGCUCGUAGCUCAGUGGAUAGAGCGCCGGACUACGAAUCCGUAGGUCGCAGGUUCAAAUCCUGCCGGGCCCA